AUGACAUACACUGCAAAUACACUCCAUGGAGGCCUUAGUUCCACACUAGUUGACUUGUAAAAAUAAAAAUAAAAGGUGCAGAUCUAGCUGACAUUACAACUUGGAACUGACAGACAAAAGUAUGCCUUAACUAUGUUGUGAAGUCCUGUAACAACCAUCACCCGCAAGGCUGUUGUGGCCAGGCGGGCUGUUUUGUACUUAACAAUGCACACAAAAAUAAAGAAUAAAAAA